rnacentral:rRNA from 1 species
ACUCCUACGGGAGGCAGCAGUGGGGAAUAUUGGACAAUGGGCGCAAGCCUGAUCCAGCCAUGCCGCGUGAGUGAAGAAGGCCCUAGGGUUGUAAAGCUCUUUCAGCGGGGACGAUAAUGACGGUACCCGCAGAAGAAGCCCCGGCUAACUUCGUGCCAGCAGCCGCGGUAAUACGAAGGGGGCUAGCGUUGUUCGGAAUUACUGGGCGUAAAGCGCGCGUAGGCGGAUAUUUAAGUCAGGGGUGAAAUCCCAGGGCUCAACCCUGGAACUGCCUUUGAUACUGGAUGUCUGGAGUUCGGGAGAGGUGAGUGGAAUUCCGAGUGUAGCGGUGAAAUGCGUAGAGAUC